AAAUUUAUGCAUUAAUUUACAACACAAGGAGGACAGGAAUAGUUAGUAAACAGCAAUCUUAACUACCAGACGACAUAUUUACAAAGUCCUACAAUUUAAAAACUAAAAGAUCUCACACUCCUAAUUCUUUCUUUUCAAGGUGAGAAAUCAAACCUCCAGAGGGAAACUGGCUGGGUGGGAAUGAUACUGAUACCCGGCGCUAAACUCAAGUCGCAGCAUCAAGCAUCUCUCAUUUCCCCAAAUUAUAAACUUCUCACCCAUCCAAACAAUGAUAUGGCCAUUUAAAGGACUAAUAGUUCUCUAACCACCAACCAUGCCCUGUCCCCUCCACUUUCUCUCCAACAUCCUUCUGCCCCUUCUCUUCCUACCAGGAGACAUGCAGGUAACAGAAGCACGAUUAGAAUGAAACUCUUAUCAGCUCCCACAAUCAAGGACGCAGCCUGACAACUGCUCACGUUCAUUACUGAUGGCAACGUUGCGGUUCGCACUUAAUCGCCGGGCCAUUACACCCGGAAAUGAAAUCUCAAGCGCAACGCACUUCGGACCCCCUUAUCAUUUCCCUAAAUUGCGCCCGACUGCGUGUGCGGGGGGCACGACCCCGAGCGCACAGCGGACCCCCGGGCAGGAUUACCCCACCUCCCGCCUCGGGCCUGCAGGUCACUCGCGCUUCUUGGCCACGAGGCGGGCCCGCGAUCCUCCCCGGGCCGCCGCAGCGGGCGCUCGGCGGGACGCGAGGGCGGCACCGGGGCCAGCCGCCUCCGGGGACCGCGUCCGGACGCGAGGGUCGGUCUCUAGAAGGAGCCCGGGCGGCCCCACGCGUCCCCAGUGCCUCCUGCAGACUCCCUUCUCCACACUGAUGUGUUGAAGUGCACUGAGUUGAAAUCCAAGCAGGAAUUUGGCUGUCCCCCUCCAGCCAUGGCGGUGCACACACAUCCUCAGCAGAGCUAAAUCGCUGUCCUCGUCCAGGAUGGUCUUCCAUGGAUAAAUCAGCCGCUGUGUGACUUCCGGUGGGUGCUGUGCCGCCAUCUUGGCCCACCUGACUUCAGCACAUAAUGUGGGGGAGAGCAGCUUUCAGCAUCUCCAGUUAUAAAAUGUACCAAAUAUUGACAUAAUUACACAGAAAUAAAUAUAGGGUGCUCAAUGAAAAGCUAAGUCCUGGAGAAACUUACAAGGCAAGUGAAAAUAAUCUGACCCUUCAAGUCUUUGCCCUCCUCCAUACACAGACACAGACUGGCAAUUCACAAGUAAAUGCAAGGUUUUCAACAUCCAGCAGUUGGAGUAAUGAAAAAAAAAGCCAGAAGUAAAACACUAUACAGUGCCUUUCCUUGUCCUUUUUUAAACUCAAAAGAGGCCCAAGCAACAACAUUCUCCUUCUGAGUUGAAACCAACAGAGGCCGAGGCUGCCGCGGGACAGUGCUCCUUUCAUGAACUGAGUGAAGACUGGGCUUAUUCAUAGAAGUCGCUGGACAGGUAGACCACACCCUCUCUGGGCUGCUGCUUGUGAACCCGUGGCUAGGCUGGGCCUGGGUGGGAUCACUGACCUCCAGAGGGCAAUAUGGGGUCUGCUUCUGAAGCGGCCUUCCUCUGUGGGAGCACGCUGAGGAGGAAGCUUCAAUGUCAAGUAUGAUCUGUCGCUCUGGAGAGUCAGGCUGUCAGCUCGCCUUUCCUGAGCUGCUGCCGCGUGCCGGGCCUGGGAACAAUACAGGGCAGUCAUGUGGGGAGACAGACACGUACACCCGGAAUCACAAGACGGGCUUUUCAUGCCGCUCGCUCACGUGACGAACACCCACCUCCCCGCGUUUGUGGCAGUUCUACAAUUCCAGUAGAGGAGAGUUUUAGGGGAGCCCAUCUGGUUGGAAGGCGUAGCCAUGGAACUGGAUGGAGCAGUUUCUUCUUAGAUCGUACACUGCACGGUAAUAAAUAUAGCAAAGUUUUCCAAAGAUGCUUUUAUUCAUGUACGUAAGGUUGAAAAAAUGUUGGUUUUCCAUAUUGCAUAUUUCACCCAGUUUAAAAAUCUUUUCUUUAUUUUAUUAUUACAGGGGGAGGUAGGGGAAGCACUGGUGGAGAUUGUAGGAGGCAUCUAAAGACCCCCAAACCCCCUCUUGGGCUGCCUCUAGCCGGGCCUUGCAUUAGGCACAAAAGGAUGGCACCCAACACUGUCCCCAUGGUGGAGGAGGUUACAGUGUUGUGGCGAGUCACUGUGCAAAUAAAAAAGGCAAUACAGGGUAACGAGCGCUGCUCAUUAAUCGUUUACUGGAUGAUUCUUUCAUUGUUUAUUGAGUACUUACUGGAACCAGCUACAGUGCUGGGCCCUGAGGGUACAAGAGUCCUCGUUCCUUGAACUCAUAAGGCAGGGAGAUCCUAGGAGUAGAGUUGCCUGAUAAAAUACAGAUACUCACUUAAAUUUGAAUUUCAGAUAAACAAGGCACAAUUUUUUAGUAUAAGGAUGUCUCAUGCAAUAUGUUGAUUUG
ensembl:lncRNA